rnacentral:rRNA from 1 species
AUUGAACGCUGGCGGCAUGCCUUACACAUGCAAGUCGAACGACGCCAGGGGCGAACUCCUGGCGAGUGGCAAACGGGUGAGUAAUACAUCGGAAUGUAUCCCGUCGUGGGGACGAACCAGUCGAAAGACUGGCUAAUACCGCAUGAGAUCGAAAGAUGAAAGCGGGGAGUCCGCAAGGACCUCGCGCGAUGGGAGCAGCCGAUGUCGGAUUAGCUAGUUGGCGGGGUAAAAGCCCACCAAGGCGACGAUCCGUAGCUGGUUUGAGAGAACGACCAGCCACACUGGGACUGAGACACAGCCCAGACUCCUACGGGAGGCAGCAGUGGGGAAUUUUGGACAAUGGGCGAAAGCCUGAUCCAGCCAUGCCGCGUGUGUGAAGAAGGCCUCGGUUGUAAG